GCACCCGCACAAGCGGUGGAGCAUGCUGUUUAAUUCGACAAUACGCGAAGAACCUUACCUAGAUUUGACAUCCUCGGCAAUGCUAUAGAGAUAUAGCGGAGGUUAUCCGAGAGACAGGUGGUGCAUGGUUGUCGUCAGCUCGUGUCGUGAGAUGUUCGGUUAAGUCCGAUAACGAGCGCAACCCUUAUUGUUAGUUACUAACAUUUAGUUGAGUUCUCUAAUGAUACUGCCGGUGAUAAACCGGAGGAAGGUGGGGAUGACGUCAAAUCAUCAUGCCCCUUACAUCUAGGGCUACAGGCGUGCUACAAUGGCCAUGACAAAGAGAUGCAAUAUCGCGAGAUGGAGCUAAUCUAUAAAAAUGGUCCCAGUUCGGAUUGGAGUCUGCAACUCGACUCCAUGAAGUUGGAAUCGCUAGUAAUCCUGAAUCAGCAUGUCAGGGUGAAUACGUUCCCGGGUGUU
rnacentral:rRNA from 1 species